GCAAGUCGAACGCAGUAGCAAUACCGAGUGGCAGACGGGUGAGUAACAUGUGGGAAUCUGCCUUGUGGUUCAGGACAACAUUGGGAAACCGAUGCUAAUACUGGAUAAGCCCUUACGGGGAAAGUUUUAAUGCCAUAAGAUGAGCCCGCAUUUGAUUAGUUAGUUGGUGAGGUAAUGGCUCACCAAGACAAUGAUCAAUAGCUGAUCUGAGAGGAUGACCAGCCACACUGGGACUGAGACACGGCCCAGACUCCUACGGGAGGCAGCAGUGGGGAAUCUUGCACAAUGGAGGAAACUCUGAUGCAGCGAUGCCGCGUGAGUGAAGAAGGCCUUUGGGUUGUAAAGCUCUUUUGUAGGGGAAGAUAAUGACUGUACCCUAAGAAUAAGGUCCGGCUAACUUCGUGCCAGCAGCCGCGGUAAUACGAAGGGACCUAGCGUAGUUCGGAAUUACUGGGCGUAAAGCGCGCGUAGGCCGUUGAGUUAGUUAAUUGUGAAAUCCCAAAGCUUAACUUUGGAACUGCAAUUAAAACUGCUCGACUAGAGUUUGAUAGAGGAAAGCGGAAUACAUAGUGUAGAGGUGAAAUUCGUAGAUAUUAUGUAGAACACCAGUUGCGAAGGCGGCUUUCUGGAUCAACACUGACGCUGAGGCGCGAAAGUAUGGGUAGCAAAGAGGAUUAGAUACCCUCGUAGUCCAUACCAUAAACGAUGAUUGCUAGAUGUUGGAAAUUUAUUUUCAGUAUCGCAGCUAACGCAUUAAGCAAUCCGCCUGGGGAGUACGACCGCAAGGUUAAAACUCAAAUGAAUUGACGGGGACCCGCACAAGCGGUGGAGCAUGUGGUUUAAUUCGAAGAUACGCGCAGAACCUUACCAACCCUUGACAUGUCUGUCGCGAGUUUAGGAAACUAGACUUUU
rnacentral:rRNA from 1 species